UGGGGAAUAUUGGACAAUGGGCGAAAGCCUGAUCCAGCAAUGCCGCGUGAGUGAAGAAGGCCUUCGGGUUGUAAAGCUCUUUUACCCGGGAAGAUAAUGACUGUACCGGGAGAAUAAGCCCCGGCUAACUCCGUGCCAGCAGCCGCGGUAAUACGGAGGGGGCUAGCGUUGUUCGGAAUUACUGGGCGUAAAGCGUACGUAGGCGGCUUUUUAAGUCAGAGGUGAAAUCCCGGUGCUCAACACCGGAACUGCCUUUGAGACUGGAUCGCUUGAACGUCGGAGAGGUGAGUGGAAUUCCGAGUGUAGAGGUGAAAUUCGUAGAUAUUCGGAAGAACACCAGUGGCGAAGGCGGCUCACUGGACGACUGUUGACGCUGAGGUACGAAAGCGUGGGGAGCAAACA
rnacentral:rRNA from 1 species